rnacentral:misc_RNA from 1 species
UUAACUAUUAUAUAGUACUCAGACGACACUAAUAAUCAGGAUAUUGGGUCCUCUGGCGGGCGCUUACCAGCCGAAGCCGAUAGCCUGACCGGAGCCUGGCGGCCCGCCAAAGCAACAAAGGUAAUAAUAACAUAGGGUGGGAGAUCUACCCGUAAGGGCAUGAGCUCGGUAAUGAUCCCUCCGCAGGUUCACCUACGGAGA